rnacentral:tRNA from 2 species
AGUGUCAUAGCAUAGUGGUAAUGACACAUACCUUUGACGUGGGAGACCUGGGUUUGAAUCCCACUGUGAUACAU